GCGGAUAUGGAGCAAAGGCGGCUCGCCAGCCUCAUAAGCUGGAAGUCAGACAGUUCGAUUCUGUCAUCCGCA
rnacentral:tRNA from 1 species